GGGCAGAGCGAAACCGGAAGGUUUACUGAGCUGUGGCUUCACGUGAAACGCUGAGCAUCCACUCCACGGCGGUCAGGUUUUUUAUAUGGGACGAAUCCAAAGACCAGGUCAGCGAUUCCAGAACCCAGAGUGUUCCAGUGUUCACUGGAUGGCGAGCCAACCCAAGAUCCUAGGAGAUGAUAUACAUACACACGCACACUCAUUUGCACAUUGAUGGACUAUAAUCCUCUACUGUACAAGUAGUACGGUAGGACAGACAAUCACACACACACACUUCUCAUUGGACGAACUCUAAUGCAAUACACCCGUUUGUCAUGGGCCCCACCGGUACCAUUUGGACUUAAAAAGACUAAUUCUUUUACUUGUGCACAAUUUUAUUUUAUUCUAUUUUUUUGCUACUUUGGGGGGAAAUUUUAUACUUGAAGUUCUGUUAAACCUGUUGUAAUACUGUGUGGUUACAAAAUUCUUUUACAAGACUUAACAUCACUAAAAUACUUUUAAGCCACACAACUGUGUUUUGUCUGGUUUCUGUGUCAUUCAUGUACCAGAGCUCUAAGAGUCGUUCUUCAUCUUCUGAUACUAGCCCAAAUUACUCAUUACCUUGGUAAUUAUCCAUUGGUACUGUACUUCAAUCCACAUGAACCCUGACCUCAAAUAUGAAAACAUCUCAGCUCAGUCAGCAGAGCAGGAUGAUCAUCACUACAGCAGACUGCACUUCAGUGACAACCACACAGCUGACCUCUACUCCACCAUCGAGCCACUGCCUGCUCACUAAAGAAGUGUUUGUUACCAUGGUAAAGGGGAUUCCUGCCAAAGUGAUUAAUCCCUGACCCUGUGUUUUCUGACUGACCCUCUGACCUUUGUGUGAUCCAUCUGGGUCUCCCACAACAUGUC
ensembl:lncRNA